rnacentral:hammerhead_ribozyme from 1 species
AUUCAGCUGACGAGUUUCAAAUAGGACGAAAUGAGAGUCCCGGAU